rnacentral:siRNA from 1 species
CAACUGGAGCCUCCACUGGUAC